rnacentral:rRNA from 1 species
UACGUAGGAUCCAAGCGUUGUCCGGAUUUACUGGGUGUAAAGGGUGCGCAGGCGGACUUAUAAGUCAGGUGUGAAAUCUCGGCGCUCAACGCCGAAACUGCAUUUGAUACUGUAAGUCUUGAAUUGGGGAGAGAUCUGUGGAAUUCCGAGUGUAGCAGUGAAAUGUGUAGAUAUUCGGAAGAACACCAGUGGCGAAGGCAGCAGAUUGGCCCUAUAUUGACGCUCAGGCACGAAAGCAUGGGGAUCAAACAGG